AAUUUGACAUGAAAAUCCAUGCAAUACUAUGUAUGCAAUACUAUCUGUCUUGCUGUGAUAUUUCAGGCUGUAACUUGCGUGCAACAUUCCAUGUCCCUUGUGAACAGUGGGACAGCACAAACACUCUACAUUGUUUUCAUGAACAGUGCACAAUUGUCAAGGACUGCGAAACAACCUCAUGCUGCUCUUUUUGGUGCCUAUGUCUGCGUAAAAUAAGAAAAACACACCCUUCUGCUGGGUUGGGAGUGAGUAAGUAAACAACCUGCUCCCAGUGGCAGCUCCGCUAACCUGUACAUCGUCCAUUACUCAUACUCCGGCUCAAGUGGUUUCUCCCUGGUUGUGAGCUAGUGACUGACGUAAAGAGAGACAGAGAAGGCUGAGUGUCCAGUAGAAGAGAAUUAUGGAAGAUCACCCCUGCACUUCAACCCCAUGCGAACACACCAUGCGCUCGUGCGGCACCGCUGUCUCUUAGCAACGCGGGCGGAAGCAGCGGCCACAUCAAUCAGAUGGGUGGACUACAAAGACGGGGAAAGCCAAAAGGAAUACCACAC
ensembl:lncRNA